rnacentral:lncRNA from 1 species
UUGUUCAGUUGUUAUUGUUUUAUUUUUAAUUUUUUGUUGCUGUUGGUUUACUCAGGUUGAUAUGAAGAUAACAGUCUGGAGCAGGGAAGUGGUGAAAUACUACCACCAAAAGUGCGAGCAAUGAGCAGUUUCAACCUGGUGCAGUGAUCAUCUCUUGGACUUUAACCCAUUAAGUCUUAAGGUUCGUUUCAAGCAUUUUGAGUGUGAUGUCAUGAGAGAUGCUGUUGUCCAUAACAGGUUGGGAUUAUCAUGAUCAAGUGCUCUAUUUUGACCUCAC